AUACGUAGGUGACAAGCGUUAUCCGGAUUUACUGGGCGUAAAGGGCGUGUAGGCGGUCUUGCAAGUCAGAAGUGAAAUUCCUGAGCUCAACUCGGGCGCUGCUUCUGAAACUGCAGGACUUGAGUGCUGGAGGGGAUAGCGGAAUUCCUAGUGGAGCGGUAAAAUGCGUAGAGAUCAGGAGGAACACCGGUGGCGAAGGCGACUUUCUGGCUGACAACUGACGCUGAGGCGCGAAAGCGUGGGGAGCGAACAGGAUUAGAUACCCUGGUAGUCCACGCUGUAAACGAUGAUUACUAGGUGUAGGGGGUAUCGACUCCCUCUGUGCCGCAGUUAACGCAGUAAGUAAUCCACCUGGGGAGUACGGUCGCAAGAUUAAAACUCAAAUGAAUUGACGGGG
rnacentral:rRNA from 1 species